rnacentral:rRNA from 1 species
UACGGGGGGGGCAAGCGUUGUUCGGAAUUACUGGGCGUAAAGGGCUCGUAGGCGGCCAACUAAGUCGGACGUGAAAUCCCUCAGCUUAACUGGGGAACUGCGUCUGAUACUGGAUGGCUUGGAUUUGGGAGAGGGGUGCGGAAUUCCAGGUGUAGCGGUGAAAUGCGUAGAUAUCUGGAGGAACACCGGUGGCGAAGGCGGCAUCCUGGACCAACAUUGACGCUGAGGAGCGAAAGCCAGGGGAGCAAACGGG